AAGACACCACUGCGCCUUUAAAUGGCUCCUUUCACCUUAAAAAACUCCCACCGCUUCAAAUGGCGAGUCAAAAGUAAUAUGCACCUUGUUUCAAACGGAAUUAAAAGUACUUAGAGUUUGAGCUGAGCACACAGGUGCAACUAAUCAGAUGUCACCAGGCAACCACCAGAGAUGGCACAGCGCCAUUUUGGAGUGAGCAAUUCACCAAAGACUUCGGAUGAAAACUAAUUGAAGAAGUUAGCAACAGCAAUGCUAAAUGAGUGGAAACUGGCUGCAGACUUUCAUGUGACGUCCUGUGUGUGAUUUAUCCUGGCUUCACGGCAGGGUGUCUCUGUUUGGACUUCCUCUCUGUGUGUCUUCAGUUUGUCGUGGUGGAGCAGCGGCAGCACGCUGGAGGAAACGUGGCCACCGAAUCGUCUGAUGGACCGAGCUGCACCAGCUGAGCCACCUGCCAGAAGCUUCACUCUGAUUGGCUGUCCAACAGGAAAUGGAAAACAAAUCAAGACCAGAGGAUGAAGUUGCAAAUUUAACUCUGAGGGGCGAACCAUCAACGAAACGGCCCAGCGAUCCCACUGACAGAGCAGGAGGAAGGCCAGUAUAGAGGUUUGACCAUGCGUGACCGCCGCCCCGCCCUCAACGAACCCCCGACGGAGAGAUCAUGAUCACUGGACGGCAAGGCUUUCAGCUCACAGCUCGCGUGUCUGUUUCUCCAACAUGCAACAACGUUCGUCAGAGCUGUCGGUUCCUCGUCUGAACCCAGAGAAGAUGCUGAACUGUCAUCAGCUGCUCUGAAAACAGAUUUACAAACUGGACAGAUGCUACAAGUUGACGAAAACUUGACUCCUGCAGAGGCUGAAUCUUCAUGAUGUAAACUCACGUUAAAAGUCUCACUGAUCAAAAGACAAACUUUUUUCCAACAAGGCGAGAAAACAAUGGGCACUGUGGACGGAAACACAGGAUAGAGCAGGUGUCACCCUGAGCAGCUCAGUGCAGAGACUGUUCAGGGAAACACAAAAAAGGAAUCCUCUACUCAACCCUAACUGUAACUUUGGAAGAUACCAGCAUACCUCUGACAUGGAUGUACCAUAUUUUUAUGGUGGAGUGAUGGCCAGCAGAGACUCAUCAGGGACUUGACUACAAAAGAAAGAUGGAUAGUUCAAGCAGAAUCACAGAGGAACUUAAAUCACACGUCUACAAAACGUGGAGUCUGGCCUCAUCUCUCCCUGCGUCUCAAAGAAGCUACAACCACAACUUGCAAAAUCUGCUUCAGUUUGUGGAUCAGAGACAUGACAGCAAACAGUGAGCAGG